UUUGUAGAAGGUGCUUCGGGUAAGGCCCCGGUCGAAGUCCCUUGGAACAGGGCGUCGCAGAGGGUGAGAAUCCCGUACGCGGCCGAUGGUCAAGCCCGUGUGAAGCCCUUUCGACGAGUCGAGUUGUUUGGGAAUGCAGCUCUAAAUGGGUGGUAAAUUUCAUCUAAAGCUAAAUAUCUGCCGGAGACCGAUAGCGCACAAGUAGAGUGAUCGAAAGAUGAAAAGCACUUUGAAAAGAGAGUCAAACAGUACGUGAAAUUGUUGAAAGGGAAGCGCUUGCAACCAGACUCGUUCGCGGGUGUUCAGCCGUCCCUCGGGGCGGUGCACUCUCCCGCGUUUCGGGCCAGCAUCGGUUCUGGCGGCCGGAUAAAGGCCUUGGGAAUGUAGCUCUCUUCGGGGAGUGUUAUAGCCUGGGGUGCAAUGCGGCCAGCCGGGACCGAGGACCGCGCAUCAGCUAGGAUGUUGGCGUAAUGGUUGCCAGCGACCCGUCUGAAACCACGGA
rnacentral:rRNA from 1 species